GGGCAUACAAUUGGCUUCAGCAUC
rnacentral:siRNA from 1 species